rnacentral:rRNA from 1 species
UACGUAGGGUGCAAGCGUUAAUCGGAAUUACUGGGCGUAAAGCGUGCGCAGGCGGUUCGUUAAGUUCGUUGUGAAAGCCCCGGGCUUAACUCGGGAACUGCGCUUGAUACUGUCGAGCUAGAGUGUGGAAGGGGCGAUUGGAAUUCCGUGUGUAGCGGUGAAAUGCGUAGAUAUACGGAGGAACACCAGAGGCGAAGGCGGAUCGCUGGGCCAACACUGACGCUGAUGUGCGAAAGCUAGGGGAGCAAACGGG